GACGAACGCUGGCGGCGUGCCUAACACAUGCAAGUCGAACGGGACCGGGGGCAGCUCUGGUUCAGUGGCGGACGGGUGCGUAACACGUGAGGAACAUGAUCUUCGGCGGGGGAUAGCCGGCCCAACGGCCGGGUAAUACCGCGUACGACCACAUGGGGACAUCCCUGAGUGGUGAAAGCAGCAAUGCGCCGAUGGAGUGCCUCGCGGCCUAUCAGCUAGUGGUGAGGAACGGCUCACCAAGGCGACGACGGGUAGCUGGUCUGAGAGGAUGGCCAGCCACAUUGGGACUGAGACACGGCCCAGACUCCUACGGGAGGCAGCAGUGGGGAAUAUUGCGCAAUGGACGAAAGUACUGACGCAGCGACGCCGCGUGU
rnacentral:rRNA from 1 species